rnacentral:rRNA from 1 species
CCCAGACUCCUACGGGAGGCAGCAGUAGGGAAUAUUGCUCAAUGGGGGAAACCCUGAAGCAGCAACGCCGCGUGGAGGAUGAAGGUUUUAGGAUUGUAAACUCCUUUUGUUAGAGAAGAUUAUGACGGUAUCUAACGAAUAAGCACCGGCAAACUUCGUGCCAGCAGCCGCGGUAAUACGAAGGGUGCGAGCGUUGUUCGGAAUUACUGGGCGUAAAGGGAGUGUAGGCGGAUAUGUAAGAUAGCGGUGAAAUGCCGGGGCUCAACCCCGGAACUGCCAUUAUGACUAUGUAUCUAGAGUAAUGGAGAGGAUAGCGGAAUACCCAGUGUAGAGGUGAAAUUCGUAGAUAUUGGGUAGAACACCGGUGGCGAAGGCGGCUAUCUGGCCAUUUACUGGCGCUGAGGCUCGAAAGCAUGGGGAUCAAACAGGAUUAGAUACCCUUGUAAA